rnacentral:tRNA from 1 species
ACAAAUAUGGCAUAGUGGUUUGGGUACUGGACUAUGACUCUGGAGAACAGGGUUCAAUUCCUUACUUGGC